rnacentral:snRNA from 1 species
UGAUAUGAGGGCGAUCCGGCCGCGAAAUCUGGCACCCCAUUGAUCGCCAGGGUUGAUUCGGCUGAUCUGGCUGGCUAGGCGGGUGUCCCCUUCCUCCCUCACCGCUCCAUGUGCGUCCCUCCCGAAGCUGCGCGCUCGGUCGAAGAGGACGACCAUCCCCGCUAGAGGAGGACCGGUCUUCGGUCAAGGGUAUACGAGUAGCUGCGCUCCCCUGCUAGAACCUCCAAACAAGCUCUCAAAGUUAUUUUAAUUUCUUCCCAUCCAGGAGGACUUUGAUGACACCUCUGUGGAGGCCUUCACUUAAGGGAGACAGGACGCCUUGCCUU